rnacentral:tRNA from 1 species
UGGAGACAAGCUGUUAAGCGUUUCAUUACACUGAAAAGGUUCUUGUAUUAACAAGGUCUCUAA